CACUCCUAACUUAAGCAUUUAUUCCACUGGGAUAGAAGCGGCAGGAGCAGCGUUGGCACCGGCGAACCAUGGCUGGGAUUUUCUAUUUCGUCCUCUUUUCGUUUCUCUUUGGGAUUUGCGACGCUGUCACCGGUUCCAGGGUGUACCCCGCGAAUGAAGUUACCUUAUUGGAUUCCAGGUCUGUUCAGGGAGAACUUGGGUGGAUAGCCAGCCCUCUGGAAGGAGGGUGGGAGGAAGUGAGCAUAAUGGAUGAAAAAAAUACACCAAUCCGAACCUACCAAGUGUGCAAUGUGAUGGAACCCAGUCAGAAUAACUGGCUACGAACUGAUUGGAUCACCCGAGAAGGGGCUCAGAGGGUGUACAUUGAGAUCAAGUUCACCUUGAGAGACUGCAACAGUCUUCCGGGUGUCAUGGGGACUUGCAAGGAGACGUUUAACCUGUACUACUAUGAAUCGGACAAUGACAAAGAGCGUUUCAUCCGAGAGAGCCAGUUUGCCAAGAUUGACACCAUUGCGGCCGACGAGAGCUUCACCCAAGUGGACAUUGGUGACAGAAUCAUGAAGCUGAACACUGAGAUCCGGGAUGUAGGGCCACUGAGCAAAAAGGGGUUUUACCUGGCUUUUCAGGAUGUGGGGGCCUGCAUUGCCCUGGUAUCGGUCCGCGUGUUCUAUAAGAAGUGUCCGCUCACCGUUCGCAACCUGGCCCAAUUUCCAGACACCAUCACAGGGGCUGACACGUCUUCCCUGGUGGAAGUUCGAGGCUCCUGUGUCAACAACUCAGAAGAAAAGGAUGUGCCAAAAAUGUACUGUGGGGCAGAUGGUGAGUGGCUGGUACCCAUUGGCAACUGCCUAUGCAAUGCUGGGCAUGAAGAGUGGAAUGGAGAAUGCCAAGCCUGCAAAAUUGGCUAUUACAAGGCCCUCUCCACGGAUGCCACCUGUGCCAAGUGCCCGCCCCACAGCUACUCUGUCUGGGAAGGAGCCACAUCGUGCACCUGUGACCGAGGCUUUUUCAGAGCCGACAACGACGCGGCCUCUAUGCCCUGCACCCGCCCACCAUCUGCUCCCCUCAACUUGAUCUCAAACGUCAAUGAGACGUCCGUGAACUUGGAAUGGAGCAGCCCUCAGAACACAGGUGGUCGCCAGGACAUCUCCUACAACGUGGUGUGCAAGAGAUGUGGGGCUGGUGAUUCCAGCAAGUGCCGACCCUGUGGAAGUGGGGUCCACUAUACCCCCCAGCAGAAUGGCCUGAAGACCACCAAAGUUUCCAUCACUGACCUCCUGGCUCACACCAAUUAUACAUUCGAAAUCUGGGCCGUGAAUGGGGUGUCCAAGUAUAACCCCAGCCCGGACCAGUCGGUGUCUGUCACCGUGACAACCAACCAAGCAGCACCAUCGUCCAUUGCUUUGGUCCAGGCUAAAGAAGUCACAAGGUACAGUGUUGCUCUGGCUUGGCUGGAACCAGAUAGACCCAAUGGGGUGAUCUUGGAGUAUGAAGUCAAGUAUUACGAGAAGGAUCAGAAUGAGCGAAGCUACCGGAUCGUCCGGACGGCCGCCAGAAACACAGAUAUCAAAGGCCUGAAUCCUCUGACUUCCUACGUGUUCCAUGUGCGAGCAAGGACAGCAGCCGGCUACGGAGACUUCAGUGAGCCCCUAGAGGUCACGACCAACACAGUGCCCUCCCGGAUCAUCGGAGAUGGGGCUAACUCCACAGUCCUCCUGGUCUCCGUCUCAGGCAGUGUGGUGCUGGUGGUCAUUCUCAUUGCGGCUUUUGUCAUCAGCAGGAGACGGAGUAAAUACAGUAAAGCUAAACAAGAAGCAGAUGAAGAGAAACAUUUGAAUCAAGGUGUUAGAACUUACGUGGACCCCUUUACCUAUGAAGAUCCCAACCAAGCAGUUCGAGAAUUUGCCAAAGAAAUCGACGCAUCCUGCAUUAAGAUUGAAAAAGUCAUAGGAGUUGGUGAAUUUGGUGAAGUAUGCAGUGGGCGUCUCAAAGUGCCUGGCAAGAGAGAGAUCUGUGUGGCCAUCAAGACCCUGAAAGCUGGUUAUACAGAUAAACAGAGGAGAGACUUCCUGAGUGAGGCCAGCAUCAUGGGACAGUUUGACCACCCGAAUAUAAUUCACUUGGAAGGCGUUGUCACCAAAUGUAAACCAGUAAUGAUCAUAACAGAGUACAUGGAGAAUGGCUCCUUGGAUGCAUUCCUCAGGAAGAAUGAUGGCAGAUUUACUGUCAUUCAGCUGGUGGGCAUGCUUCGUGGCAUCGGGUCCGGGAUGAAGUAUUUAUCGGAUAUGAGCUAUGUGCAUCGAGAUCUGGCUGCACGGAAUAUUCUGGUAAAUAGCAACUUGGUCUGCAAAGUGUCUGAUUUUGGCAUGUCCCGAGUACUUGAGGAUGAUCCGGAAGCAGCUUACACCACCAGGGGUGGCAAGAUUCCUAUCCGGUGGACCGCGCCAGAAGCAAUUGCCUAUCGUAAAUUCACAUCAGCGAGUGAUGUAUGGAGCUAUGGAAUCGUUAUGUGGGAAGUUAUGUCAUAUGGAGAGAGACCCUACUGGGAUAUGUCCAAUCAAGACGUGAUUAAAGCCAUCGAGGAAGGCUACCGGCUACCUCCUCCAAUGGACUGCCCCAUUGCACUCCAUCAACUGAUGCUAGACUGCUGGCAGAAGGAGAGAAGUGAUAGGCCGAAAUUUGGGCAGAUUGUCAACAUGUUGGACAAACUCAUCCGCAACCCCAACAGCUUGAAGAGGACGGGGACCGAGAGCUCCAGACCUAACACCGCCUUGUUGGAUCCGAGCUCUCCCGAGUUCUCCGCCGUGGUAUCCGUUGGCGACUGGCUCCAGGCCAUUAAAAUGGACCGGUAUAAGGAUAACUUCACGGCUGCCGGCUAUACCACACUAGAGGCUAUAGUACACAUGAACCAGGAUGACCUGGCAAGAAUCGGCAUCACAGCCGUCACACAUCAGAAUAAGAUUCUGAGCAGCGUCCAGGCGAUGAGAACCCAAAUGCAGCAGAUACACGGCCGAAUGGUUCCUGUCUGAGCCAGUGCUGUUGAAUAAACUCAGAACUCUUGAAAUUAGUUUACCUCAUCCAUGCACUUUAAUUGAAGAACUGCACUUUUUUUAACUCCGUCUUCGCCCUCUGAAAUGAAAGAAAGAGUAAAAUAACCUGCAGCGUCACCCGGUGUACAGAUUUUGCUGAGAUCGCGGGGCUUACGGAAAUGACAGACCGUCGCUCAAAUCGAGACCUGGAACCCAUUGUGUCUCAGAAGUACUCCGUCCGUCACCAGUUUGUAAAAUACACGUACCUGUAUAAAUAGAACACCACCUCCGGGUUUUGAUGAGUAUUUGCUGACAGACACUGAGCUUCUCUGAGACAUCCUUGAUCCUCUCUCCAUUUGGAAUUACAACUGCAGUAUUUUGUUUGUGGUGUAAAUGACCGUCCUCUUGCUCUCACCGGAAUGAAUACCAUGCCCAGGAACAUUUGGGAAGGACUCAGUCGUAGCUUCUAAGGCUUGGUUCUUACCACGGAAAACAACCUAGGUGAAAACCGCGUAGCUCAUCGGGCCACCUCGUGGCUUAUGGUGACCUGAAAGUCAUCAUAAGGGUCUGGAAAGAAAAGGAAAGUGGAUUUUAAAAAAUAAAAAUAAUAAGAAUGAUAAUAAUAAAACCCAAACACCUCCCCCUCACUGGACAAACAAGGUCUGUUUCUUUGGGCCUGAGGCUGUGCCAUAUAAAGUCGUAUUUUGGGACUCUACAAACUUCUUGUAACUACCUUAUGGAUAGUGGACCGUGACAAUCUUGAAUAGGGAACUUUCACACUUCCCUCCUUUAAAGAAGCAAACCCAGACCUACAAGGGAGUAGAUUCUGCUAUCUUGGCCUCACAGCCCUUCCUGUCGAUCACAAAGCCCACAGAAGAAAACAGAACACACCCUCCUCAGUCCCUUCGAGAUGUGUUUCUUCUGCUUCCCCUCUGCCAGUUCUGGAGCAAAGACCCUGAUGAAACAACCCCCGUACCUGAAAAGAACAAAUGGCUGACGUUCCAGUCUCCUUUCCCAGUGAAAGAAACAGCAAACGUGCGAGGCUCAGCACCUGUUCUCCCGUUGCACUGAGGAACGGACUGCCUCGCAGCACCAACUCCGCAGAGCCCUUGUUCCUAAACUCCUUGUGGUUUUAUUUAUAUGUAUUUCCGUAUCUCAUUCCUGUGCGUCACUGCUGCAUUGGUGCGGCAGCAAGUGACCCAAGGCUACAGGUCUUACGACGGACACCAGGUCAGGUGCCACUACGCAAAACAAAGCCAGUUCCCUUGAGCUGCCUAUGAUAUGCAUUGCUGAAGUCACAUUUUACCCAGGGUGUGCCAUUGCAGUGAUAUAAAUAUAUUUUUUUCCUAGACUAAAUAUGAGCUGACUAUCUCUUUUGAUGUGUGUACAUAGGUGUGAGUGUGCGAGUGCGCGGGUGUGUGUGCGCGUGAGCGUCUAACCUCAUGCUUAGACCUGCCUGCGAAUGUUGUGGAAUGCUACACCCGGAGAGUGCUGGUUUUUCCACCGGUCCUGAGAUUACGAGCCGCGUGCGACAGUGGGCCUGGAGACCGCACCCGUCCCCUCAGAAAGACAGCCCGGAAGUGUUCAAUGCCCUGUAUCUAGAAGUGUGUUCCGUAACUGCCACACUAACCUUAAUAAGUAAUUCGACAGCUUUGGAUGGAGGCAUUUUCACCUUAGCAGGGGGGUAAUUUUAGAAUAUAAAUCCAUGCGGGUGACGACCCAUCGUCGAGAUCAUUAAUGCGGACUGAACUUCCCAUCUGAAUCACCAAUUUCUUGAUGGAGAGAGAGAGAAGGGGAUGGAAUUUGUCUGGUGACCCCAAGUGGAAUAGAAGUAGCCUUUGUUUUCCUGCAUAAAUGGACUCGUUGAAUGAGAACAAAUAUAUGCAACCCAUGCGCUUUCGGAGAUGAACGUAGACGCGUGUGUCGGCUUUGAGAUGAUGUGUCCCGGGUUAAUACUUUGUCUCUCAAUGUCACAGAAAAAUACAUGCCGGUGACUCUUGAGGUUGGCAUAGUUGGGAUUAAAUGUCCUCAAGUGAUUUCAGGUUCCCAGUUUAGAGGAGGAGUUCUACAAUUAAUUCAUAUGCAGCUAACUCUUAUGGUCCUUAGCCUUCUAGAAUCUGAGGUCCAGUGUGUGAAGAUUCAGUUCUGAUAGGACACGUGUACCCAACUCCAGCCAACAUACUGCCAUUUUUUCACAAUCUGAGUGGCUGCCUUGCGUAUUCUCAGCUACGGUUGCAGAGACUGUGGCCGUUUACAUAAGCUAUAACAUCAAAUCAGGGAAAAAUGGGAAAAAAAAAAAAAAGAUUCCGAACCCUAUGCUAUUGAAGAAGUAGAGAACAUCAUCAAUAAAUAUUUAUUACAUUCUGACAGGGUGUGUGGCAUUGUAUUCUCAUAGCUAUGCCAGAGUGACAAAGUGAAUUCACCCCUUUUUGGGGACUUUACUAUAUUUUUAAAGGGAUGUGCCUAUGCAUUGAUGCCUGAAAAAUAUGUAUAAAAAAAUGAGGUUGAAUCUCUGAGCUGGUCAUCUUUCCCCAGAGGUCAGGGCAGGAGGCCAACUUCAGGGGACUGGAUUAGCCCCAUAAGCGAGUGCUGGCCUAGUGAGUUCAGAUGCUGAAUCUUGCUCAGAUCUUCCAUUAGGGCAGCAUUAAGCUGUUCCCCUGCACCAAAUCGAGUAGCUUCACCAUGUGUCUGCCGGCCCCAAAUUAUUUUUAACAGUCAUGGAGGAAACGUUCUGGUGUGUUCAAAGAGUGAUUUUGGAGACAGGUUGUGUUCACGACACUACUGGUGUGUAUGUUUUGAGAACUCUUGUAUUCGAUCUGUGAAGGAUAUGUGUAUUAAUCCAUACACGCGUAUAGCCUCAAUGUUGGUCCGAAGACACGCAAAUUCUGACCAGUCAAGGAAAGUUCUAGAAGCAAUAUUUUCACUUAACAUUCUCCAAACAUCAAGCGUUGAUACACACUGAAGAGUGCAUUUAUUUUUUGUAUCACUCCAAGUAUGUUGGAAUAUGCAAGGACUGUGGUUAAAAUUAGAAUGUACAAGGCCUAUUAUAAUUUAGUUCAUACCAUAAAGGAAAUUAACAGAACACUGCUUGGUUCGUACAUGUUCCAAAAUUUGAGCGCUCUCUUGAGUUAGACAUAGAUUUUUCUAUUUUGUUUUAUUUUGUCAAGGUAUUUUUCUUCCCUUCAUGAACUUUAGGUACACAUAACUUAUGUCAUUUAUUUAUGGUCUUUUAUACCUAGUUUGUAAAAUUGUAAAAUAGCAAACUAAAUGCAAAGAGUUUGCAUUUGAAAAUAAUAAAGUAGUUGCCGUAUACAGACCUGGAA